UUGAACGCUGGCGGCACGCCUAACACAUGCAAGUCGAACGGGUAACUUAACUUCGGUUAAGUGAAAGUGGCGGACGGGUGAGUAAUGCAUGGGGAUCUGCCUAUCGAUGGGGGACAACGUAGGGAAACUUACGCUAAUACCGCAUACGACCUACGGGUGAAAGCCGGGGACCUUCGGGCCUGGCGUCGAUAGAGGAACCCAUGUCGGAUUAGCUUGUUGGUGAGGUAACGGCUCACCAAGGCGACGAUCCGUAGCUGGUCUGAGAGGAUGACCAGCCACACUGGAACUGAGACACGGUCCAGACUCCUACGGAGGCAGCAGUGGGGAAUAUUGGACAAUGGGCGCAAGCCUGAUCCAGCAAUGCCGCGUGUGUGAAGAAGGCCUGCGGUUGUAAAGCACUUUCGCCGGGAAGAAGGCUAGGUACCUAAUACGUACUUAGAUUGACACUACCCGGAUAAGAAGC
rnacentral:rRNA from 1 species